GCAACAGGUAGCUCUGUCAGAAGCUGGGAAGAGCCGCGCGCCGAGUCCCGGCAGCGGUGACGCUUUUGUUCAUCUCGCCUGGAUGCGCUUCCAAAAGUGAAAGGAAAAAGGCUUCACCCAAAACUUGCUUCCCGUCCCCCCUCCCUCCUCCUCCUCCUCCUCCCAGCGUGGCGCUUGAGUAGCCCUUCCACUCCCCAGCUCCCAUCCCAGUUUCCUGAAAGCAACAACUCGUCCUUGGGAACGGUAAGAAAUGUGAAUGUCAGUGAAACAGAAUGUCUACCAAGAUGCUAUAUUUAAAUCCAGCAAGUUGGAUGCUUUAUUUUAUUAACCUUCAAAUGGUAGAAUGAAAUACAGUGUAAAGAAAAGAAGACAUCAAUACUUGGAUUUAUAAAUUUGAAUUUCUGGACAUGAAAGCUUGUGAAAAUUAUGGUGUAUGGCUUGGAUUAUGGAAUAUAGUUCCAGCACCUCUAAGGCUUGGGUCCUCUAGCUGAUGUUGAUAAACCUAAGAAAAGAUUACUAUCUUGCAGAUCUUUACCUGUUGGAUAUCUAGAGCCAGAAAGCCCUUCAAAAAGAGGAAUGAUAAUCUGAAAAUUCUUUAAAAAGUUGACUAUUCUCUGAGAAUUCAUUACUGCCAGAUUGACUAUCCUUUUGUUCUCCAUGGCCCGCACAGUUCCAGAAAGCCAAUUUUAGCUUUGUUUUAUUUGUUCAAUAAAGGAAAACACUCUAAAGGAGGAGAGUCUGUGCAGGGAAGGGGUCUGUCUAGACUUCCAAACAAUUUUCCUUUCCUGAUCAAGGCAGAUCAUAUUUCCUUCCUAAGGAACAUGGCUGUGAAGUCACCGUUUUGUUUUGACCCUGGUCUUCCUGCAAAUGUUUGAGUCAAAAUCUGAUUGUAAAGAAUGAUUCAAGGGA